AGGAUCGUGUCACGUGUCAAGUCA
rnacentral:siRNA from 1 species